rnacentral:rRNA from 1 species
GGGCGUUAAGUUGCAGGGUAUAGACCCGAAACCCGGUGAUCUAGCCAUGGGCAGGUUGAAGGUUGGGUAACACUAACUGGAGGACCGAACCGACUAAUGUUGAAAAAUUAGCGGAUGACUUGUGGCUGGGGGGGAAAGGCCAAUCAAACCGGGAGAUAGCUGGUUCUCCCCGAAAGCUAUUUAGGUAGCGCCUCGUGAAUUCAUCUCCGGGGGUAGAGCACUGUUUCGGCAAGGGGGUCAUCCCGACUUACCAACCCGAUGCAAACUGCGAAUACCGGAGAAUGUUAUCACGGGAGACACACGGCGGGUGCUAACGUCCGUCGUGAAGAGGGAAACAACCCAGACCGCCAGCUAAGGUCCCAAAGUCAUGGUUAAGUGGGAAACGAUGUGGGAAGGCCCAGACAGCCAGGAUGUUGGCUUAGAAGCAGCCAUCAUUUAAAGAAAGCGUAAUAGCUCACUGGUCGAGUCG